UAACUCAUAUUGUUAUCAGAAAAAUAUAGGGUAUAAGAUAAAAUAAUCCCAAAAAAAUAAUUAAAAUGGCCUUAUUACAACCCAAAACCAAAUAAUAAUAUUAAUAAGAUAAAACUUAUAAAGAAAUAAAUCGACUACUUAUUACAAUUAAAAGAAACAGAAACAGUAUUGUGGCCAUCUCUGAGUCCCUCGCAGCUCCAAACCAUCUAAGCUUAGGGAUUACCUGCACAGUUAGAAACGGGGUGAGUUUACUAAAACUCAGUGUGUAAUCCCAAUAACAAACAAACAGUAAAUAACACGGUAUCAGUACAAUCUGGGCCAAAGCCCUAUUGAGUCUUGACAUAUACUGGGCCAAAGCCUUUCCAUAAAUCAUAUAUUGGGCCGAGCCUUUUAAUAAAUCAUAUCACUAGGCCGAAGCCUUUUCAUAAAUCAUAUCACUGGGCCGAAGCCUUUACUGUAAACAGUAUGGCCCUUAGGCCCAUUUCAAUAUCACAUGUAAUGUCAAUGGAUGUAUGCAAGCCCAUUUCAAUAUCACAUGUAAUGUCAAUGAAUGUAUGCAAGCCCAUUUGGGGAGACUACUCAACCCACCAUCCGCUACUCUCCACCCGUACCAACCAAGCUCUCCAUGUGGGGAAUAACUUAACCCACCCAACAAAACUCUCCACUAGCAACAUAGCUGCUUUAUCAUAUAACUAGAGGCCUAGCCUCUUUUAAUAACUGGUGCAAAGCCCUUUCUGAUAAACUGGGGCAAAGCCCUUUUUGGUAAACUAGGGCAGAGCCCUUUUAGCACUUCCUCCAUCAAUAUAACCCAUAUCCCAUGCAAUAUGUCAUGUAUGCAGAAUGUCAUGCCCAUGUUUGAAUCAAACAAUCACAGUCAAGUCAUUCAUAUCACCAACAUAUAUUCACAAUCAAAUCCGUCAACCACACAGUCCAAGUCAGUCACUUGCCCACAAGGGCAAAACAGUCAUUUUUCAUAUUAUAAGGGUAUUUUCGUAAUUUUACCAAAAAUCAGGGUUUUCCAUGUUCAUUACAAUUGUCAAUAUUUUCGAGUGUUUAAAUAAAGAUCUUUAACCCACUUAUCAAAUUCGGGCUUUUGGGCCCAAAACCCCUAAUGGGCCCUACGAAUGCUGAUUUAGCCCACUAAGCCUGCUUAACCCAAAUUUUACAACAAUACUAACCGUGUUAACAUGCAACUUUUCCAAAUUCCAUUUUCUAUCAAUUUUACCCAAAUGGGCCCAAAAGCCCAUUUGGCCCAAUUCCUACCCAUUGAGGCCCAACUUACCAUCGUGCACAAAAUUGAGUUCUUACCCGUUCCAUCGAUCCAAACACUGAUCUUAUCGUAUUUAUUGCAUCAAUACCCACACGCAACAUUACAAGUUCCCGAAAUACCGGUAUUUUAGCAUUUCAGCUUCUCAGCAGAUAUUAAUCUAAGCUACUACGAGGGUUAGUAGACACCUGUUAUGGGUUGAAGUUGAAACGUUUCCAUAAUCAAUCACCUAUGAUAACCACCGCCUGUCACUCAAACAUAACUAAUCCAAUAUCAAUAUAUGUAAAUCCUAAGCACAUCAGUCAUACGGAACAUAAGGGCAUAUUCGUCAUUUUACCAUACAAGGGUAUUACGGUCACUUUACCCUAUAGGGGCUUUACGGUCUUUUUACCUAUUAGGGGUAUUUUAGUCAUUUCAUCCUACAAGGGUGUUUUGGUAAAUCUACAAACCAAGGGUAUUUCAGUAAUUUUGUAAACCAAUGGUAUUUCUAUAAUUUUUAAAAAGUAAAGGGUAUUUCUGUAAUUUUGUAAAUUAGGGGUAUUUUGGUAAUUUUAUAAAUUGAGGGUAUUUCGGUAAUUUCACAAACCAGUGGUAUUUUGGUAAUUUUACAAACUAGGGUUAUUUCAGUCAUUUCAUAAUCGAGGGUAAAACGGUAAUUUUGUAAAUUGAGGGUAAAAUGGUAAUUUUGUAAAUUGAGGGUAAAAUAGUAAUUUUGUAAAUUGAGGGUAAAAUGGUAAUUUUGUAAAUCGAGGGUGAAACGAUAAUUUUAUAAAUCUGGGGUAAAACGGUAAUUCUAUAAAUCAAGGGUAAAACGGUAAUUUUAUAAAUUGAGGAUAAAAUGGUAAUUCUAUAAAUCGAGGGUAAAAUGGUAAUUCUGUAAAUAGAGGGUAAAAAAUGGUAAUUCUGUAAAUCGAGGGUAAAAUGGUAAUUCUAUAAAUCGAGGGUAAAACGGUAAUUCUGUAAAUCGAUGGUAAAACAGUAAUUUUACAAAUUGAGGGCAUUUCAGUAAUUUGGUAAACUAAAGUAUUCUAAACAGGGAUAAUAAUACGAAUGGGCCUAAAGCCUAUUCUCGGCCCAAAUGGGCCCACACGCUCGUGUGGCCCUUUUAGCCCAAAUCUAGCCACAAAUAUGAGAUUCACCUAGCCUAGUCCAAUAUUUACUACACAAUCAAAUAACUUAUCCAAUUGGGCCCGUAGGCCCAUUGGACCCACAUGACCCCUUUCAGCCCAUCGCGGCCCGAAGUAGCCAUCCUAUAGCUAGAGUAGUGAGAAAUACACACUUGAUUGGAGACUGGAGUUAAUCCACGCUCUGAGCACUCUUAGCCGACGCCCAACCCAAACGAGCACGCCAUAAAGCGAAAGGGAUCAGCCAAGAAAGGU
rnacentral:lncRNA from 1 species